GACGAACGCUGGCGGCGUGCUUAACACAUGCAAGUCGAGCGGUAAGGCCCUUUCGGGGGUACACGAGCGGCGAACGGGUGAGUAACACGUGGGUGACCUGCCCUCAGCUCUGGGAUAAGCCUGGGAAACUGGGUCUAAUACUGGAUAUGACUCCACGGUGCAUGUCGUGGGGUGGAAAGCCUUGUGCGGCUGAGGAUGGGCCCGCGGCCUAUCAGCUUGUUGGUGGGGUGANGGCCUACCAAGGCGACGACGGGUAGCCGGCCUGAGAGGGCGACCGGCCACACUGGGACUGAGAUACGGCCCAGACUCCUACGGGAGGCAGCAGUGGGGAAUCUUGCGCAAUGGGCGAAAGCCUGACGCAGCGACGCCGCGUGAGGGAUGACGGCCUGGUGUAA
rnacentral:rRNA from 1 species